GUUUAGCACAUACUAUGUAAAGUAUUCAUUUCACAUUGUCAUGGGUACCUCUAAGCAAAGAGGUCCGGCUACCUCUUUUCCAUACAGGUACCUCAAAUGCAAGUACAAGCAGAGGGUUCACUAUUAUCAUCUGCACUGGUUGAAACUUGCAAAAAGUAUCCAAAUUUCAGUUCGUAUCAGGGGGUGGGCAUUGGUCAAUUCGGUUUAGUUCAAAUACAACCAUAAUUCUUAAAAAUUGAACUUAAUAAAACAAAG
rnacentral:misc_RNA from 1 species